rnacentral:lncRNA from 1 species
UGUAUGGGAACUGUUGAAUCACGGCCUGAACCUCUGAUUGACCUCCUGAGGCGAGCGCUGAGUCAGCUGCAGGGCACAGGUGAACGCAAUUUCACCUGAGUGACCGGAAGGGGUGGAGCCUGGCUGCACCCACAGAGACCCCAUUUAAGGGCUGACUCCCAAGGAGGAAGGAUCUCUAGCUGGAGAUCACUCCUCUUGGAGCCCUUCUGUGAGCCCAGGACAUGGCACCUCCAGGGAUGGGCACCCACAGCUCUGGGCAGCCGUGCCGCUGCCUCACCGCCCUCUGACUCCCUUCAGGUGCUGGAAGGCCACAGUGAGGUCUCCCCACAGCCUUCUCUU